GGGGCAGGCACUGUAGUGCCCGGUGGGCACGGAGAACAGUCGGGAACGGGGAGCGGCCCCCUGGGAUGCGCUUGGAUGCCGACAGUGCGUUCUGCGGGGCGGCAAACCUCGGCUGUCCCGGUCCCCGCUGCCCCUGCUGCAGUCUGAGGCGUGCAAGUGCCUCUGUGUGUGCAAGUAACAUCUCACGGGUUCUCUAAAACAUUAAAGCAACCUCCUCCCCAGCCUUUCCUUCAACUCCGUCCCUAGCCCUUCCCUCUCUCCUGCACCAGAAAAAGUACAUUGCUUCACUCUUUCCCAAAAGGGCAUGUAGCCCAAACCCCAAAUAUCUGUAUUCGUGUUGUCCCCAAAGUGAAGGCUGUUGAGCAGAGCUGACUGCAGGUCUGCACCGUCUACAGCUGUGGCCUGCCAAGGCAGGUGGCCAGACCACCUCAGCAUCGAGCUCCUCCAUUCCUUCAUUACUUUAUUGUGAUCAACUCAACCGUGCUAUAAGCAUGCUUGUCCUGUGAUGAUAAUUUCAUCAAGGGCUUAUGUAAGGGUUGGAUAACAGAUAUAUACAAACAGAGGAACAUAUGGUUGUCGCAAGAUAGCAGCACGUGCUUUCUUCAUAAAGCAUUACAAUGGCUUGUAUGGCAUUCCAGUUAUAGCUGGUGGAUGAUUCACAAGCCAUCCCAAACUGUCACAAAAUAUUGUGAUGUCUCCUACAAUUUUAUCAAAACCUUGCUAAUUUGAUGAUUGAAAAAAAAAGAUUGAUCAGAAAGGAUAACCCGAUCCCAUUGUUAGAGGAAGAUUUGGACUCAGGUAUGUGUUUCUCUCAAAAGUGAUAUUUUGAACAGUCAAAGAUCUUAGAAUCACACUCUGACUUGGAUUUACUUCUAAACCUUUGGCCUUUACUAACACUGAGUACCAUAACCCCCAAAUUUAGGCACCAAGUCUCUGGGGUGUGAUACUUUUUUGGUAAGGGACACUGCAUGGGCAGCAUCCUGAGCAGGAGCAAUGAGAAUGAGAAAUGGAAGGGAAAUGAUGGAAGAAAGAGAUGUUUUCCACAUCACACCUUCUUAGAGAGAGGGUACUUCUGUGCCUGUCCCUGUGGCUGGUCAAGGAAGGAUCAUUUGGAUGGAAAGUGGGUAGGCCAGAGUGCUAAACUCUCCUCCCCAGAGAAAAGCCUAACUGACAUGUCUCAUCUAUUGGAAGGAUGCUCUGUACCCCUGUGGUUGCAAAGUGGUUCCUUCAAACUUCUGUUUUGGAGAGCUGCAUGAAGAAGAAAGCACAGCCACUGGAUGCAGGACAUGGCAACACUUUGUCCUGACCUGGAGCACGGGAGCUUCAUCAGGAGCGACUGCCAGAGGAACAUAAACCUUGCCCUCUCAUUCUUCCUGACCAGCGCCAAUGGAGCUGUUUUUCCAGUGAAUUUUCAGCUAGGAUAUUAAAAUAAACUUCUCCCCAAAAGCUUCUGCCUUGAAGCA
rnacentral:lncRNA from 1 species